rnacentral:rRNA from 1 species
UGGGGAAUCUUCCGCAAUGGACGAAAGUCUGACGGAGCAACGCCGCGUGAGUGAAGACGGCCUUCGGGUUGUAAAGCUCUGUUAUUCGGGAAGAACGAUUCGUUUGUGAACAAUGAACGGAAGUGACGGUACCGAAAGAGAAAGCCACGGCUAACUACGUGCCAGCAGCCGCGGUAAUACGUAGGUGGCAAGCGUUGUCCGGAAUUAUUGGGCGUAAAGAGCGCGUAGGCGGUAUGGUAAGUCUGUCUUAGAAGUGCGGGGCUUAACCCCGUGAGGGGACAGAGACUGUCAUACUGGAGUCUCGGAGAGGAAAGCGGAAUUCCUAGUGUAGCGGUGAAAUGCGUAGAGAUUAGGAAGAACACCGGUGGCGAAGGCGGCUUUCUGGACGAGAACUGACGCUGAGGCGCGAAAGCGUGGGGAGCGAACAGG